rnacentral:rRNA from 1 species
GAUGAACGCUGGCGGCGUGCCUAAUACAUGCAAGUCGAGCGAACGGACGAGAAGCUUGCUUCUCUGAUGUUAGCGGCGGACGGGUGAGUAACACGUGGAUAACCUACCUAUAAGACUGGGAUAACUUCGGGAAACCGGAGCUAAUACCGGAUAAUAUUUUGAACCGCAUGGUUCAAAAGUGAAAGACGGUCUUGCUGUCACUUAUAGAUGGAUCCGCGCUGCAUUAGCUAGUUGGUAAGGUAACGGCUUACCAAGGCAACGAUGCAUAGCCGACCUGAGAGGGUGAUCGGCCACACGGGAGCUGAGCCACGGACCAGACUCCUACGGGAGGCAGCAGUAGGGAAUCUUCCGCAGUGGGCGAAAGCCUGACGGAGCAACGCCGCGUGAGAGAUGAAGGUCUUCGGAGCGUAAAACUCUGUUAUUAGGGAAGAACAUAUGUGUAAGGAACUGUGCACAUCUUGACGGUACCGAAUCAGAAAGCCACGGCUAACUACGUG